rnacentral:rRNA from 1 species
CCUACGGGAGGCAGCAGUGAGGAAUAUUGGUCAAUGGCCGCAGGGCUGAACCAGCCAAGUCGCGUGAGGGAUGACGGUCCUAUGGAUUGUAAACCUCUUUUGUCAGGGAGCAAAGGGCGCCACGUGUGGCGUUUCGCGAGUACCUGAAGAAAAAGCAUCGGCUAACUCCGUGCCAGCAGCCGCGGUAAUACGGAGGAUGUGAGCGUUAUCCGGUUUUAUUGGGCUAAAAGGGUGCGCAGGCGGAAUGUCAAGUCAGCGGUAAAAUUGCGGGGCUAAACCCCGUGGUGCCGUUGAAACUGGCGUUCUUGAGUGAACGAGAGGUAUGCGGAAUGCGUGGCGUAGCGGUGGAAUGCGUAGAUAUCACGCAGAACUCCGGUUGCGAAGGCAGCAUGCCGGCGCUCAACUGACGCUCAUGCACGAAAGCGUGGGUAUCGAACAGGAUUAGAUACCCUAGUAGUC